GGGGAAUAUUGCACAAUGGGCGCAAGCCUGAUGCAGCGACGCCGCGUGCGGGAUGACGGCCUUCGGGUUGUAAACCGCUUUUGUUGGGGAGCAAGCCUUCGGGUGAGUGUACCCUUCGAAUAAGCACCGGCUAACUACGUGCCAGCAGCCGCGGUAAUACGUAGGGUGCAAGCGUUAUCCGGAAUUAUUGGGCGUAAAGAGCUCGUAGGCGGUUCGUCGCGUCCGGUGUGAAAGUCCAUCGCUUAACGGUGGAUCUGCGCCGGGUACGGGCGGGCUGGAGUGCGGUAGGGGAGACUGGAAUUCCCGGUGUAACGGUGGAAUGUGUAGAUAUCGGGAAGAACACCAAUGGCGAAGGCAGGUCUCUGGGCCGUUACUGACGCUGAGGAGCGAAAGCGUGGGGAGCGAAC
rnacentral:rRNA from 1 species